CAAAUCUGGAACAUUAAAUCUGAACUUAAACUCUGAAGAUAAAAUUAUAAAUCCUAAACCUUAAACCGAACUCAAAUCUUAAAUCAUAAAUCCCAUCAACCAAAAGGGUUUGAAAUUGAAGGUUUAUGUUAAAAAUUUCAAAAUAAAACCCUAAACCCCGAACAGCCGUGUCUGAAAAACCCUCUAAUUUCGUGUUCAAUUUUGUUUUUUUUUUUUUCGUCUUCGAAGCAGUAAUGGCAAACUCCAUGGUCUCUCUCGAUAAGCUCAAAGCCUUCUGGCAUUCUCAAGUCCACGACGAGGAAAACUGGGCUCGAAACAUGUGCAUUUCAAGUAGUAGCGGAAUUUGAAGUUCGAACAUCUUUAAACGUUCACAAGAAAUGUUCUUACAUCUUGGUACAAUCAUGUUUCCGAGGCUGCUGUUUGGUUUCAUUAUCUAUAUGUUAAUCAACAAAUUUUAUUUGUAAACCCGAGAAAUCUUUUUUUGGCUGAAACUGCUGCGAGCUGCUGGGUUAUUUGGCGGAUCGAUUCUUCUAAUGUGCAACUAUGGCGAUGUUAUGGCCAUAUAAGGAAUAAAGGAUGGAUUAAAAGCUUCUGAGUAAUCCCAUGUUAUGCGAGUUGUCGUUUUCUCCGCCACAAUGAUGUGGAAAUGCUUGCAUUUGGUAUAUGUUUUCAGUUUGUGUAUGAAAUUUAGGAAUCUAAUUGAUGAUGAUGAAUGGAAACAAUGAAUUCGUAUAAGCAGGCUAAUAACAUACAGUUGGAAAUGUUUUGGAAUUGAAUGAAA